ACUAAGCUCCAACAAAGACUGCUUGUACACACUUCCAAAUGCAACACAUACCUCAAGACCAUCUAAGAAACUACCUCCCUUAAGCGAAGAAUACAGUAAACAAACAACUUCAGACA